GAUGAACGCUAGCGGCAGGCCUAACACAUGCAAGUCGAGGGGUAGAACACUUCGGUGUUUGAGACCGGCGCACGGGUGCGUAACGCGUAUGCAAUCUACCUUAUACAGGGGAAUAGCCCAGAGAAAUUUGGAUUAAUGCCCCAUAGUAUUAUUGAAUGGCAUCAUUUAAUAAUUAAAGUUCCAACGGUAUAAGAUGAGCAUGCGUCCCAUUAGUUAGUUGGUAAGGUAACGGCUUACCAAGACGAUGAUGGGUAGGGGUCCUGAGAGGGAGAGCCCCCACACUGGUACUGAGACACGGACCAGACUCCUACGGGAGGCAGCAGUGAGGAAUAUUGGUCAAUGGUCGCAAGACUGAACCAGCCAUGCCGUGUGCAGGAAGACGGUCCUAUGGAUUGUAAACUGCUUUUAUACAGGAAGAAACCCUCCCACGUGUGGGAGCUUGACGGUACUGUAGGAAUAAGGAUCGGCUAACUCCGUGCCAGCCGCCGCAGUAACAC
rnacentral:rRNA from 1 species